CUCAAAUGGAUAUAAUCAGGACUUGCUAUUGAGUAGCUACUUGACGUUUGAAGCCCAUCAUUCAAACCAGCACAGAAUUAUUCACACCACCUAUUUAGCAUGGCAUCAUUUAUAACAAUGACAACAGCUUAAUCAAACAUCACUGAACCUGUUUCUAGGUUUAUGUGACUAUUUUUCAAGCAAAUCAGACAAAUCCUCUAGUAAAUCAACAUGAAUCUAUUUGUGCAAUAUCAGUUUCAGUCUAGGUGGCUGUAUAACGAUGACUCAUAAUUGUCACGUUACUGUAAUCAGGAGUGACUCAUUAGUAAGACAUGCACAAGUUGAGGCUUAUCAAACCAAACCUUAAGUUAUGUCCACUUCCUGGUUUGGUGUGGCGUCUCAUGCAAAUCAAUUUGCAGCCAUUAUGUCCUCAUUUGAGAAACCCACAAUUCCUUGGCAAUUUAUAAUCUCACAUAUCUGAAGUUUAUUCCAACAAAAUUUAAAGGAAAUCCGCUGAACUCUCUAGGAGGAGUAUGAAAGAGUUUCUGAAAAGUAUGGAAAAAAUGCACAAAUUCCAAAAUUGGCCAACUUUCUGUUGGAAGGAGUCACUCAAACCACUGCUAAAAAUUUGUUCAAUGACGACAUUCAUGCUCAUGCCAAAUUUCAUGACCAACUGUCUCCUUACCAUUAAAACCUUUGAAUCAGAUUUAGUGUUGUGUGUCAAGCAAAUCUAUUGCCCACCAUUCCAUCCUCAUUUAAGAUAUCUACUAUUCCCUCACAAUUUAUAAUCACAUAUGUCUGGAGUUAAUAAUACUUAAAUUUCAAGUGAAUCUACUUAUCUUUGUAGAAGGAGUACAAAAGAGUUUGUUAAAAUUAUACAAAGAAACACGAAACUUUCAAAAUGGCUGACUUACUGUUGGGCGGAGCUAAUACAAGACAAUGGGAAAUAUGUCCGACAUGAUGUAGACGAUGUCAGCACCAAAAUUAGUAAAUAUCAGACGGACUUUGUGACAACCACAACAAUAAACUCAUUCAGAAAUUUUGGGGGCACUAUGGAGUCAACUGGCCAAAACCUAAAAGAAAUGACCAAAGGAUUAUAAAAUUUGGGCAAAGUGUGAUGAGUAUGCCAAAUUUCCCUGAUUUUCAUGCACUACAAGGGUGUCAAAUUUGCAUUCAAAACCUUGGUAGCGCUAUGGAGCUCAGGCAGCACACCUAUCCUAAACGACAAUAUCAAGUGAAAAAUUG
ensembl:lncRNA